rnacentral:rRNA from 1 species
CAGCAGCCGCGGUAAGACAAAGGAUGCAAGCGUUAUCCGGAAUGAUUGGGCGUAAAGCGAGUGCAGACGGUUACUUAAGCCAGAUGUGAAAUCCCCAAGCUUAACUUGGGACGUGCGUUUGAAACUGGGUGACUAGAGCGUGUCAGAGGGAGGUAGAAUUCCACAUGUAGCGGUGAAAUGCGUUGAGAUCGGAAAGAACACCAACGGCGAAAGCACUCUGCUGGGCCGACACUGACACUGAGAGACGAGAGCUAGGGGAGCAAAUGGGAUUAGAUACACCUGUAGUCCCUGUCUCUUAUAC